rnacentral:rRNA from 1 species
UACGCAGGGUGCAAACGUUGCUCGGAAUUAUUGGGCGUAAAGAGCUUGUAGGCGGUUUGUCGCGUCUGCUGUGAAAUCUCAAGGCUCAACCUUGAGCUUGCAGUGGGUACGGGCAGACUAGAGUGUGGUAGGGGAGACUGGAAUUCCUGGUGUAGCGGUGAAAUGCGCAGAUAUCAGGAGGAACACCGAUGGCGAAGGCAGGUCUCUGGGCCACUACUGACGCUGAGAAGCGAAAGCGUGGGGAGCGAACAGG